rnacentral:rRNA from 1 species
CCCUUAGAUGUUCUGGGCUGCACGCGCGCUACACUGAAGCUAUCAACACGUUUUCCCUCCCUGAGAAGGGCGGGUAACCUUUUGAAUCAGCUUCGUGGUAGGGAUCGGGGCUUGCAAUUGUUCCCCGUGAACCAGGAAUUCCUAGUAGACGCGAGUCAUAAGCUCGCAUCGAUUAAGUCCCUGCCCUUUGUACACACCGCCCGUCGCUACUACCGAUUGAACGUUUUGGUGAGGCAUUUGGACCGACGCAUCUCAGUUUAACCGCUGGUUUGUGUUGGAAAGACUUCCAAACUUGAGCGUUUAGAGGAAGUAAAAGUCGUAACA